GCUGGUGUGGCGCAACGGUAGCGCACCCGAUUUGUAAUCGGACGGUUGUGGGUUCGAUUCCCUCCACCAGCU
rnacentral:tRNA from 1 species